UACAGAGGGUGCGAGCGUUGUCCGGAAUCACUGGGCGUAAAGGGCGCGUAGGCGGCUUGAUAAGCGUGCGGUGAAAGCCCGGGGCUCAACCCCGGGUCGGCCGUGCGAACUGUCGAGCUGGAGCACUGUAGAGGCAGGUGGAAUUCCGGGUGUAGCGGUGGAAUGCGUAGAGAUCCGGAAGAACACCGGUGGCGAAGGCGGUCUGCUAGACCUGUACUGACACUGAGGGACGAAAGCUAGGGGAGCGAAUGGG
rnacentral:rRNA from 1 species